UCGCGUGAGUGAUGAAUGUUUCGCGAUCGUAAAACCUGCUGUUAGGGAAGAACAAGUUGGGUAGUACUGAACCAAGCUUGACGUGUACUAAACAGAAAAGCACGGCUUAAUACGUGCCAACAAGCGCGGUAAUACGUACGGUGGCAAGGCGUUGUCCCGGAAUAUAUUGGUGCGUACAGCGCUCGCAGUGCGGUCUUUUAAGUCCUGAUGUGAAAGCCCAUGGCUUAACCGUGGAGGGUCCAUUGGAAACUGGAGGACUUGAGUACAGAAGAGGAGAGUGGAAUACCACGUGUACCGGUGAAAUGCGUAGAGAUGUGGAGGAACACCAGUGGCGAAUGCGACUCUCUGGUCUGUAACUGACGCUGAGGAGCUGACACGCUGUGGGGAGCGAACAGUGAUUAGAUACCCUGGAUAGUCCACGCCGUAAACGAU
rnacentral:rRNA from 1 species